GUUCUUGUUUCAGCAGCACAUAUACUAAAAUUGAACUAAUGCAGAGAUGAGCAUGGCCCCUGUGCAAGGACAACACACAGAUUCAUGAAGCAUUCCUUUUUUCC